AUUGAACGCUGGCGGCAGGCUUAACACAUGCAAGUCGAGCGAGCGGCGGACGGGUGUGUAAUGUCUGGGAAACUGCCUGAUGGUGGGGGAUAACUUCUGGAAACGGUAGCUAAUACCGCAUACCCUCAGAUGUGCCCAGAUGGGAUGAGCUAGUAGGGGGGGUAAUGGCUCACCUAGGCGACGAUCCCUAGCUGGUCUGAGAGGAGGACCAGCCACACUGGAACUGAGACACGGUCCAGACUCCUACGGGAGGCAGCGGUGGGGAAUAUUGCACAAUGGGCGCAAGCCUGAUGCAGCCAUGCCGCGUGUAUUAAGAAGGCCUUCGGGUUGUAAAGCACUUUCAGCGAGGAGGCGUUACUCGCAGAAGAAGCACCGGCUAACUCCGUGCCAGCAGCCGCGGUAAUUC
rnacentral:rRNA from 1 species